UACGUAGGGUGCGAGCGUUGCCCGGAUUUAUUGGGCGUAAAGAGCGUGUAGGCGGCCAGACAGGUCCGUUGUGAAAACUCGAGGCUCAACCUCGAGAUGUCGAUGGAAACCGUCUGGCUAGAGUCCGGAAGAGGAGUGUGGAAUUCCUGGUGUAGCGGUGAAAUGCGCAGAUAUCAGGAAGAACACCUAUGGCGAAGGCAGCACUCUGGGACGGUACUGACGCUGAGACGCGAAAGCGUGGGGAGCGAACAGG
rnacentral:rRNA from 1 species